CCUUAAGUCCCAAUUCUCAUUCAAAAUUGGUUGGAUCCAGCGGCUCUAUGGUGGCCUUCUUAAAUUCUCUAUAACUCUAUCUUCCAUCUUCAGGCCCUGCCGUUUAAAUUGUUAGUGGCUUACAAAAUGAAUCUGUUUCUAGAUCAAAAGUCUGAUGUAAUCCAAA